UCAGAACAUAAGCACGGUAGCUGUUGAUUGGAUAGAAAACAUGGAAUUUGUAAGGCAAAACAUUGACUUACGAGGUGCUUGAGCUGAAGAUGAUGUUAUCGGACGGAUGAACCAAGAAGUGACGGUCAUAACGACGAAAAUCGUAGCAUAUUUAACAAAAAAUUUACCUUUCUUCAUGUAACCCAUAAACAGCAUCAAAGUUCGAAUGUAAAUAUGAGUGAAAGCCAGAUUUUCGGUGAGAUUGUUGAUGACUUUCUUUACAUUUGGAAGGCAGUAAAACAAAUUAACGUACUCGGUAAACAUUAUGUACGUAAAAUAUAAAAAACUUAGGUUGAAGAGAUAAUAAUUGGGUUCUAAUGGCCACACUCCGAUGCAUUUUGACAUUAUUCGCGCCCAAUUUAAGCAGAUUGUUCUGAAACCAUGAAGCUUCGUAAAACGGACAAGUAUCCCAUACUUGUUUUGGUGACCUGUAAAAGAUUUAUUUAUUAAUAAUUAAAACAUUGAAAAGAAGAAAUUUAAAAUGAAUAAUAUGUGCUCUUCCCAAUUAUUCAUAUUGUGACAAGUGAUUAUUUAUUUUUAAUAUCUCACAUCAGUUAGAGUACUGCUCCCAAGAGUAACAAAUGAACCAGCAGUUAAACAAAGUGGUUUUUGUGACCGCUUGAUACAAAAAAUAAUAUCUUUAACGCAAUCUUGGGGCAUGUUGUACCAGUGACAAUUCCAAAAUGCAUUGGAAACUUUUUUUGACUUCAGAAACAAAAAAUUUUCACUGAGCGUACAAAAAACGCACAUGGCAAGAUAUACCGUACUGAUAAAAAUGUAGUACGGAGUCAAAUUUUUGUUGUCUCUGACAGUCCAGGACUGAAAAAUAAAACAUUUCAACAAAUGGCAGGUUUUUUAUCCAGAGCUCACUUACAACGAGUAUUUUGUAUCCAAUAAACGUCAACAAUAUACUUCCGUUCAUGAAGUAUAUUAAUAAUGACGGAGCGGCAUCGAUCCUUGUAGCUAAAACAGCGAGUUUUCCACUGACGUGGAAUGUCAAUAUUAUCAAAAAGCAUCCUGAUGUCACGUGGCCGAACCCGAUGAUAAAAGCAAAGGGGCUCCACGAAAUCCUGCAGCGCAAGUGGUUUUUGGCUUCUAGAUAUGCAGUAUGUUAUGUCAUAAAUACACUCUCGAUCCAUUUGAUACCACUCACAAUUCCAAAAAGCUUCUUUAACUUUGUUAUUCUAAUUAAAAGAAGAAAUCACUUAACUCUGUCAAUACAUAGCGCAAUUUUCCACAAUGAACUCUCAACAUCAACGUUGAUGUGUACAGAUGCAUAAGCGCCAAACUUUCUGAAAGAUUGUCAAUAACUUUACGAAGAUUACCAAGGCUUAUGUACAGAUCAAUCAGCGCAGAUGCCAUGACACUGAAAAAUGACAGAGGAAGCUCGUGGACAUUAUCGAGAACUGUUCCUGCGCAGUGCUAUCAUCUUCUUUAAUGUAUUCCUCUAAGUUCAGUUCCGCAAGAUGAACUUCAGUUUCAUAUCCAAACAACAAUGAGUAUCAAAGAGUUCAAUCGACGGUUAAAAAAUUUCUUAACACUGACAAGUAACCCAUCGAUGUUUUAGUCACCUCAGUCAAUGUGGUACUGUCAAAGUAUGAAAAUUUUCCAGCUUGCAGCGCAAGAGGCUUUUGGCUUCUGUUUAUGCAGUAUAUUAUGUCGUAAAUACACUCCCGAGGCAUAUUGUACCACUCUGUAUUCCAAAAAGCUUCGCAAACACUGUUACUCUGCAUAAAUUAUUUACUAAAGCUCACCUCUUCAAUGAGUUGUUCACUGACGAUGCAAAAUGUUGUUAUUAUAAAAUACGUCGCGAAGAUGAAUGUAAAGUGAAGCAUCAGAUCAGAAUUCGGUCCUGUCAUAAUGUUCUGAUGCCCAUUUAUCCUUUCGACUAAAAUGGCUAAUCUUCCACAUAAAUGAAACACAAGUACUAUUAAAAAGCCUUCAGACGUGAUGUGUCCGGUGCUAAUUAUAAAAAAGGGAGGCCCUUGAGAAAUGUAUGUCAGUAGGAUCAUACUAGCUUAUUUAUCAAGCUUGGAGUGCAAUGACAGACUGUUGAUCAAGAUUGAAGCAAUUACCUGGAGCGACUAAUGUUGUUAAG